rnacentral:lncRNA from 13 species
GGUAUUUACUGAGUGCUUUCUCCUGCAUUGCCUCAUUUGAUCUUCCCUAGAGGCUCAUGGGAAAGAGAAGGAAUGACGUUAGAAUCUGAGGCCUGAACAGCAAGAUGAUGCUGCCAUUGUAGAUCCGGAAGAAGAACAUCCAAACAGAAGGAAAAGCUCUCUGUGUUCUCUCAACUUCUGGUGCAAUGGAGAAGUCGGGAGAUGGUGCUUGAAUCCUGACUCUGUCACAAGCUGGCUGUGUGACCCUGGGAAAGCCACUUCUCUGCUCCGAGCCUAGUUGCUCAUUUGUAAAACGAAGAGGUGGAAGCUGUGAUUGC